CAACAAGCAGGGCACAUGUUUGCCAGUGUCACCAAAACAUUGGGCGUGUUCCUCGCUGUCAGCAGAAAAGGGGCGAAACCUACUUUUGAUGGACAAAAAGGCUCACUGGAGGACCAGAAGGAGACUUGUCCUCCUGCCAUUCGGAGCUCCCCUAUUGGUGAACGCGGAAGUUGGGCCAUGAGGUUCUGAAGUUCCUGCCCCUCCCCUCUCUCAAUGAAGAUUGAGCUUCACUCAGACUGCAGCUUCCUUCCUCUGUCCAACAUCUGGCCACCAGAAGCCUUCUCAGUACUCUACAAGUGACUUCACCAACAUCCUGUACACCUUCAACAUGAUGUCCCAACUCCUUUAUUCAAUGGUGUGAACAAUUAAGCUACCCGAUGAAGGAGCAGCGCACCGAAAGCUAGUGCUUCCAAAUAAAUCUGUUGGACUAUAA